AGCUUUAUAUUCAAAAUGAUUGUAAAUUGCAAAUUUACAGGUGGGGUUACCCUAAGGCUU
rnacentral:tRNA from 1 species